AUCAUAUGUGAGGGAGAUGUCUAUCAACGCACGUCAGUCAAGCAUUUUAAUCUUCACAUUCUCCAAGUGCAUUUGAACCAUAUGGCACUUUACCACUGGAUAAUUCAAAUCAGAUUAGACCUCAAGUUACUUCUAUUGAAAGAGUUUGAUGAGUCUGAUCAGCAAUUUGCUUGUUACGGCUCUAAUGCAGAGUGUCUUCAGUGCAUAGUCAUACAUGGAAUUUCAUUUGAUUCUCAUCUGAUGAACUGUUGAUCAGUGUGAUAAUGUUGAACAAACGGAAGUGUCGCACCCAAGUGAUAAUUAAUAUUUGAUUGAAUUCCCACUAAUUAAACAAUAAUGAAUAUUUGAUUGAAUAGCCCACUCCUCCAGCUUGGUUUUAGUGCAGCCUAGUGUGCUGUGAAUCACUUCUCUUCCCCAUGCUGUUUUUGGCACAUCCUGUAUUUAAACCUAGUGUCUUUAAUCACCCCAUUCAACCCCCACAGUCAGCAUUUCGGCCCGGGCCCCAUUCAGAAUACCCAUAAUUGGACGGAAAGUGUCAAAACCUCCUGUUUGCCCAUACUCAGGUAGAGCCACUGUGUCCUGCACUGGACAGCUUGGGCACUGUCCAGCUUGGCUAGAACAGGGAUGCAUUGUCCCACACAUUUUACGCUCCAGCAGAAGAGGUCCAGUGGGCCCUGUUUGUUGCUCUUUAGAGAAGACCAUUCUCCACAACAUUAAAGACAGACCUGCAAAUGUGCUUUUAAGUGCAAGAGUGAGAUGUUUUCAGCUAACAUCAAGCUGCUAAUGAUUUUAAUGAGAGCUCCUUGUAGAGUCAUCUUUUUUUCAUUGAAUACAUCACACUAAAACAAAAUCAAUGCACAAGAUUAAUUAAGGCCCUUUUAGAUGCCUUCUGCUGUUUUUUUUUUUCUUUUCACCCACUCUCUCUCUUUCCCCGUCUCUCUAAGCCUCUCCAGAUGAGGGGAUGCUGUGCUGUAUUUAAGCGUGGUUAUUUGACAUUUAGAUGCAAGGGGGAAUAAAAAGAGAGGGGGAGACAGUAACAAACACAGGGACAGUUUUUGACAGUUCUUUGUCAUGCCGGAGAGAAGAAAGGGGGC
ensembl:lncRNA